GCGGCGGACGGGUGAGUAACACGUGGGUAACCUGCCUGUAAGACUGGGAUAACUCCGGGAAACCGGGGCUAAUACCGGAUGCUUGAUUGAACCGCAUGGUUCAAUUAUAAAAGGUGGCUUUUAGCUACCACUUACAGAUGGACCCGCGGCGCAUUAGCUAGUUGGUGAGGUAACGGCUCACCAAGGCAACGAUGCGUAGCCGACCUGAGAGGGUGAUCGGCCACACUGGGACUGAGACACGGCCCAGACUCCUACGGGAGGCAGCAGUAGGGAAUCUUCCGCAAUGGACGAAAGUCUGACGGAGCAACGCCGCGUGAGUGAUGAAGGUUUUCGGAUCGUAAAACUCUGUUGUUAGGGAAGAACAAGUACCGUUCGAAUAGGGCGGUACCUUGACGGUACCUAACCAGAAAGCCACGGCUAACUACGUGCCAGCAGCCGCGGU
rnacentral:rRNA from 1 species